GCCAGACUCCUACGGGAGGCAGCAGUGGGGGAUAUUGCACAAUGGGGGGAACCCUGAUGCAGCGACGCCGCGUGGGUGAAGAAGCGCCUCGGCGCGUAAAGCCCUGUCAGCAGGGAAGAAAAUGACGGUACCUGAAGAAGAAGCCCCGGCUAACUACGUGCCAGCAGCCGCGGUAAUACGUAGGGGGCAAGCGUUAUCCGGAUUUACUGGGUGUAAAGGGAGCGUAGACGGCGACGCAAGUCUGGAGUGAAAGCCCGGGGCCCAACCCCGGGACUGCUCUGGAAACUGCGGCGCUGGAGUACGGGAGGGGCAGGCGGAAUUCCUGGUGUAGCGGUGAAAUGCGUAGAUAUCAGGAGGAACACCGGCGGCGAAGGCGGCCUGCUGGACCGUGACUGACGUUGAGGCUCGAGAGCGUGGGGAGCAAACAGGAUUAGAUACCCUGGUAAUU
rnacentral:rRNA from 1 species